GACGAACGCUGGCGGCGUGCCUAACACAUGCGAGUCGAACGCUGAAGCCCUUCGGGGUGGAUGAGUGGCGAACGGGUGAGUAACACGUGGGUAAUCUGCCCUGCACUCUGGGAUAAGCCUUGGAAACGGGGUCUAAUACCGGAUAGGACACAUCGCCGCAUGGUGUGUGUGUGGAAAGUUCCGGCGGUGCAGGUUGAGCCCGCGGCCUAUCAGCUUGUUGGUGGGGUGAUGGCCUACCAAGGCGACGACGGGUAGCCGGCCUGAGAGGGUGACCGGCCACACUGGGACUGAGACACGGCCCAGACUCCUACGGGAGGCAGCAGUGGGGAAUCUUGCGCAAUGGGCGAAAGCCUGACGCAGCAACGCCGCGUGGGGGAUGACGGCCUUCGGGUUGUAAAACUCUGUUCUUGGGGAAGAAGGACUGACGGUACCCAAGGAGAAAGCCCCGGCUAGCUACGUGCCAGCAGCCGCCGUAAGAC
rnacentral:rRNA from 1 species